ACUGGCUAUGCCGGCGCCGGGGGUGCGAGGUGCGCAGGCGCCGCGCCCGUUGCCACGGAAACCGGGUCACCUGCAGGUGCUGUGCUGCCGGCACGUGGGGUCGUCGGCCGCUGUGUCUGACGCCAGGGUUCUGCGCAAGGACUCGUAGUGGCCAAUGCCGGCUGGCUUAGGAGACUGUCAGCUGGUCCAGCCCCGGCUAAGCGAAAGGCUGUUGUUAGCAUCCGAACACGCCCAUCACCAUCUGGAGCAUGGCAGGGGGAUGGGAAUGCAGAGUGGCGUGGGCUUACAGCCUGGGACCUUGGGCAAGUUACUGAACCUCUGUCCCCUUGGCUUCUUCCUCUGUGAAGUUGGGGUCAUAAUGGUCCUUCCCAGACCCAGCUUGGCCCAUGGUCAACACUAAGUAAAUAGGAGCCAUUUGUUAGUAGCUAAUGCUGUGAUGUUGGGGAGGACCAUCUGUACUCUUGAGCCCAGGUCUUUUUAACUGGCAGGUUCGCCAGUCUGGAACGGAGUGGGAGAGUUCCGGGCCGAGGGAGAAGCAAGGACGGAGUCUUGCAAAGCUCUAGACAGAUGAAGCACUCCGAAAGCAUUACCAAAUUGAAGCCACACCAUUUGUUUGUAUUAAACAACUUAGGAAGGAAUCUCUCCAUUCAGCAUACAAGGCUUUCAUCUCCUGUUGAUUUUUUUUUCUAAGUAAAAUCAACAAGCAGUACUCGGUACCUAUUACUGGUUAGGUGCCAAAGGGUGACACGAAGAAGUAUGUGAAAUGGUCUCGAGUCUGAAGGAAUGCACAUUGUGGCAAGGAGAUAAUGUGUGAACUGAGCCUGGAAGGAAGGGUAAAAUCUGAGACAGGAUUAGAAGAGGAACGACUUUCAGGCAGAAGGAGAAAACCUGGGAAAGAGAUGGAGGUAGAAAUUCAGGUGGUGGAGGAAGGAACCAGGGACAGUGGACUUCAGGAGCAAGAGGCUGUCACAGAUAACAGUGGAGACACUGGACCGGAUUGUGGAGGUGGAGGGAGGCAGGCAACCGAAGCCCCUCUGAUUGCCUUCCAGGAAUCUUAGCACUUGGCAGUUCUCAUCUACUCCACAGAGCUUCCAAUAAGCAUUCUGCCUCACUCCUGAAUACACACAGAUGACCAAGGGUCAACAGACAUUUGAGGGAGACAGACAGAAAAAGGGAAAAACAAAGUAGGAAGAAGAAAAGAUAAAAUCUUUAUUAUUUGCAGUCUCUGAAGAUAGUAUUACACCCUUGAAAGAAAAUGAGAAAAGUAUGUAAAAGAACAUUCAGAAAAUAAGAAAGAGCUCUUGAAAAUUAAAAAAAGAAGUAAAUUUAAAAGUUGAUAAAAGAGAAGAUAAAUUUGAUGAUACUCAGGUAACAAUACAAAGGAAAAGAGAUGGAGAAAGAGAAAACAUAAGAAAAUUAGCAGAUUAAUCUAAAAAAUUUGACAUCUGAGAAAUAGGAAUUACAGGAAAGAGAAUAGAGAAAAUAAAAAGGAGGAAAUUACUCAAUAUUUCAAUUACUCAAUUACUCAAAUAAUUCAAGAAAACUUCCCAGAUCUAAAGACACGUUCUCAUAUUGAAAGGGCUCACCAAAUGUCCAGCACAACAAAGCUAAAAAGAUCCACAGCAAGGCACCUCAUCACAAAACUUCAGCGAUAAAGGAAAGAGCUUAAAAAGUUUCCAUGAGGAAAAAUAGAAAGGUCACAUUUAAGGGAUUGGAAAGCAAAAUGACAUGGAAAUUCUCAAUAGAAUCCCUGAGGCUGACAUUCAAAGGAG
rnacentral:lncRNA from 1 species